CCUACGGGGGGCUGCAGUGGGGAAUAUUGGACAAUGGGGGCAACCCUGAUCCAGCCAUGCCGCGUGUGUGAAGAAGGCCCUCGGGUUGUAAAGCACUUUCAGUGAGGAAGAACGCCUGGUGGUUAAUACCCAUCAGGAAAGACAUCACUCACAGAAGAAGCACCGGCUAACUCCGUGCCAGCAGCCGCGGUAAUACGGAGGGUGCGAGCGUUAAUCGGAAUUACUGGGCGUAAAGCGCGCGUAGGUGGCUUGAUAAGCCGGUUGUGAAAGCCCCGGGCUCAACCUGGGAACGGCAUCCGGAACUGUCAAGCUAGAGUGCAGGAGAGGAAGGUAGAAUUCCCGGUGUAGCGGUGAAAUGCGUAGAGAUCGGGAGGAAUACCAGUGGCGAAGGCGGCCUUCUGGACUGACACUGACACUGAGGUGCGAAAGCGUGGGUAGCAAACAGGAUUAGAACCCUGGUAGUC
rnacentral:rRNA from 1 species